rnacentral:ribozyme from 1 species
AAAAAUCAGAUUAAAAAUGAGAAAAACAGAUGUAAAAACAGGCUAGUGGGUAGCGACUAGAAUAAAUACGAUAAGUUUUUUUUUUUCAGUUCUUCCUGUCCGCUUCUAGAGAGGAAAAUGUUUAUAAUAAUAGGAAU